GACGAGGGAUCCUAGCGUUGUUCGGAAUCAUUGGGCGUAAAGGGCCAGUAGGCGGCCAACUAAGUCGGAUGUGAAAUCCCCAGGCUCAACUUGGGAACUGCAUCCGAUACUGGAUGGCUUGAAUUCGGGAGAGGGAUGCAGAAUUCCAGGUGUAGCGGUGAAAUGCGUAGAUAUCUGGAGGAAUACCGGUGGCGAAGGCGGCAUCCUGGACCGACAUUGACGCUGAACGGCGAAAGCUAGGGGGGCAAACGGG
rnacentral:rRNA from 1 species